AAAUGCGUAGAGAUGUGGAGGAACACCAGUGGCGAAGGCGACUCUCUGGUCUGUAACUGACGCUGAGGAGCGAAAGCGUGGGGAGCGAACAGGAUUAGAUACCCUGGUAGUCCACGCCGUAAACGAUGAGUGCUAAGUGUUAGGGGGUUUCCGCCCCUUAGUGCUGCAGCUAACGCAUUAAGCACUCCGCCUGGGGAGUACGGUCGCAAGACUGAAACUCAAAGGAAUUGACGGGGGCCCGCACAAGCGGUGGAGCAUGUGGUUUAAUUCGAAGCAACGCGAAGAACCUUACCAGGUCUUGACAUCCUCUGACAACCCUAGAGAUAGGGCUUUCCCUUCGGGGACAGAGUGACAGGUGGUGCAUGGUUGUCGUCAGCUCGUGUCGUGAGAUGUUGGGUUAAGUCCCGCAACGAGCGCAACCCUUGAUCUUAGUUGCCAGCAUUUAGUUGGGCACUCUAAGGUGACUGCCGGUGACAAACCGGAGGAAGGUGGGGAUGACGUCAAAUCAUCAUGCCCCUUAUGACCUGGGCUACACACGUGCUACAAUGGACAGAACAAAGGGCUGCAAGACCGCAAGGUUUAGCCAAUCCCAUAAAUCUGUUCUCAGUUCGGAUCGCAGUCUGCAACUCGACUGCGUGAAGCUGG
rnacentral:rRNA from 1 species